rnacentral:lncRNA from 1 species
AUAAGGAGGAUUACGGUCAUCCCAUCCGAGCAGAAUAUUCUCUUACCUCUCCAAGUGAAGCUUCUCUCCCCCCAGCAUGAAGACCACAUAGGAGAACAUGAUCUAAAAGCAGAGCAUCUAAAGAGCAGUAUAAAAGAAAGCUGUGUUUCAAGAGCAAUAGUCACAAGAGAUCUGUUACUAAUCUGCACUGAGGAUGAGGUCAAAACAGAAGGAUCCACCGUAACAACCAAGGCAGAGUUCCUGCCCCACAGAGUUUGCCAUAUUGGGGGUUACAAACAAUUUGAUCCAUCCACCCCUGACUUUGAUUCAAGAACAGAGAUUCAUGUAGCAAGGAGGAGCUCUGUGGAAAAUCCAGUCCUGUGGUAGAAGAGAAUGGCAGUGGUAGCAACAUGUAUGCGGGAGAUGGGGCUGACCAAGCUAUACAGCAUCUAUGUAGUCCCUUGUCAGUAUUCCCGGCAGAAGUUCUCGGAAGAAUGCCAUGAUUUCGGCUAAGAGAGCAGCUUCAUCCUACUCCAAACUCUUGUCUCUACCCAUGUCCUAUCUGAACAUUUGCCCGCAAGUCUGCGAAUUUCCUAGUGACCUUUGGACAACCACUUUCUGUUGCUUCUGAUACAGUGUUGUGCUCAGCAGCACAGAUGCUAAAAUUGGAAUGAUAUGAUGCUGUUCACAAAGAUAAAAAUACAAAAGAGGUAUCCAACUUCU